rnacentral:rRNA from 1 species
GAUGAACGCUGGCGGCGUGCCUAAUACAUGCAAGUCGAGCGGACGGACGCUAAGCUUGCGUCUCUGAUGUUAGCGGCGGACGGGUGUGUAACACGUGUAUAACCUCCCUAUCAGACUGGUAUAACUUCGGAACACCGGAUCUUAUCCCGGAUAAUAUUUUGAACCGCAUGGUUCGAUGGUAAGAGACGGUCUUGCUGUCACUUAUAGAUGGAUCCGCGCUGCAUUAGCUAGUUGGUAAGGUAACGGCUUACCACGGCAACGAGGCAUAGCAGACCUGAGGGGGUGAUCGGCCACACUGGAACUGAGACACGCUACAGUGUCCUACGGGAGGCAGCAGUAGGGAAUCUGCCGCAAGGGGCGAAAACCUGACGGAACAGGGCCGCGUGAGUGAUGAAGGUCUUCGGAUCGUAAAUCUCUGUUAUUAGGGAAGAAAAUAUUUGUAAGUAACUGGGCGCAUCUUGACGGUACCUAAUCAGAAAGCCACGGCUAACUACGUG